GAAAUGGAAUGAAUUUACAGUUUAAACCACAGCAAAAUCAGUAAUCGAUGAACACGUAGUAAUUACUGGCUGGGCUGCUGCUGCUGCUGGUGCUGUGCUGUUGAUGCCAUCGUCUUAAAUGAAAAAAAGUCCUUAAAGCUUAUUAAACCCAUUUCUCGAUUUUCACGAAACCUAUUUCAAAAUUCAAUACCUUCUUUCCCCUUUCUCUCUCUACCAAUUAUACCUUUUUCUCCUCCCCAGGGUUUUUUCGUUGUCCUUCAAUUCAAUUUUUUUUUUCUUUUGAACUGUGUGGGCAGCCCUUUGAUUUUUCUGUGCGAAAAAAUGAGUAUCGAGAGCACCGCCAUGAGAUGGGAGAGGGUUCUGCGGAGAGAAGUGAGCGGUGGGCCCGGUGUGAGGUGGGGCCACACAUGCAACGCCAUUAGAGGGGGCAAGCUUCUCUAUGUUUUCGGCGGUUAUGGGAAGGAUCAGUGCCAGACUAAUCAACUUCAUAUCUUUGAUACCGUCAAUAUGCUUUGGAGCGAGCCUUCGGUGAAGGGCACACCACCUACCCCAAGAGACAGCCACAGCUGUACAACAGUCGGUGAUAAUUUGUUCGUAUUCGGCGGUACAGAUGGAAGAAAGCCGCUUAACGAUUUGCAUAUAUUAGAUACCUCCUCCAAUACGUGGAUCUUACCAAGCGUCAGAGGCGACGGGCCGGAACCACGAGAAGGUCACAGUGCAGCUCUUAUUGGUAAACGACUCUUCAUAUUUGGUGGAUGUGGUAAAUCCGACAACAGUGAGAUCUACUACGAUGAUCUCUACAUUUUAAAUACCGAGACCUUCUCGUGGAAACGUGUAGUUCCAUCGGGCACCCCUCCAAGUAAGAGAGACAGCCAUACAUGCUCGUCUUGGAAGAACAAAAUCAUUGUCAUAGGUGGUGAAGACUCGUGUGAUUACUACCUAUCAGAUGUUUACAUACUCGAUGCUGAUACUCUUGUGUGGUGUAAGUUGAACACUUCUGGCCAACUAAUGCCGCCUCGUGGCGGUCACACUACAAUUGCUUUUGGCAAUAAGUUAUUUGUCUUUGGUGGUUUCUCGGAUGAGCAGAGCUUGUAUGAUGAUGUGUAUAUGCUUGACAUUGAAACUGGGGCAUGGACAAAAAUACUAGCUAAUGGAGAGGGACCUUCCGGAAGAUUUUCGAUGGCUGGGGAAAGUUUGGAUCCCGAGAUGGGAGGUGUUCUUGUUUUUAUAGGCGGCUGUAAUAAAAAUCUCGAAGCACUGGACGACAUCUAUUACUUGCAUACAGGGCUUUCAAGAGAAAUUGAGCGAGAGGAGAGACGGAUUGAAAAGCUCUCUCUGAGAAAACAACUGAAAUUGAAAUGCCAAGAACAACAAGCUAUUACUCCCGCGUAUGGGAAGGCUUCUUCCGGUGUCGAACAUGAACAAGACACCACCAUUUAUCAACCCAUGCCGAUAUCGAGUUAUAUGCCAUCAGGGAGGCAGAAUUUCUAUAUAAGUGAAUAUCAGACUCCGAUGGGAAAGAGGACUUUCCAAGCUAAAGUCAUCAAAUGCAUGGCAGAUGGAUAUACUAUCGAAACUAUGAUCGAUGGAAAACCUCUUCGUGGCGUGUUACUGUCCAACAAACCAGUCUCUGCUGUCAUGGGUGCUGAUUAUUCAAACAGGAAGAUGGAACCUGUGAAGAACGAUGGUGCCCAUGUGCAUGGUGAUCAUAAUUCUGCAGUAGAGAGUGAGAAAUCGACAAAGCAUCAAGCGGAUGAUUUCAAGCAAGCAGAUGCUGUUUUAAAAGAAACGGCAGAAGUUCAAGCUCGGGUGGAAAUUGCUGCUUCAGAAAUGAAAAAUCAUGCAGCUGCUGAAUAUUCAGUCUCCCAAGAGGUUCCUCGAGCCUCAGAACCACCCAUGGAGCCUGAAAACAACGCGGGAAGUAAUGGAACUGGUAAUCCAUUACCCUCUAAUGCUGAAACUCAUAAAGAGCACGAUUCGGCAUCUUUUAAGGAUCAAAUCUCUCCUUAAAUUCGAGGAACCCGCAACCGAAAUAGACGGUAAAUCUCCACUCUUGUGCAAUAGCUCGCAAACCACACGAGAGAUGUAAACCACACUAGGCAUAAGCCAACAAGCUCGACCCAAAAAGCGUUGGCAAUGGGAUUCGAACUCGGCGCGCAAUGAAUUCAAACUUCAUUUGCUGAAAUCUAACAGGUGGCUGAAAUAUUAUCGACCUGUUUCCAGAUAGAACAUUUCAUCUGGCCUUGAAGCUGUAUAGUUCCCAACAAUUGAAAUACCCAAGAAAGAAAGGUUAUAAGCGUCUACUCGUUUUUGCCUUUUCGAAUUGGAUUUUUCAUCUGUAUAUUGCAAGACCUAUCUUCGGGAGUUUCGGUACAGUUCUUGAAAUUCUCUUUACUCUUGACACUCUGAUUUACAAUUUAUGCUGCUGUUCCGUAUGUGCGGUAAUAUAAUCAAUUUCUUGAUGCCUUCCCUUGAUAGCUUAGAUCUGUUUUGUUU